GGCUGCACGGUGGUGUAGUGGUUAGCACUUUCGCCUCACAGCAAGAAGGUUCUGGGUUCGAAUCCCGGUUCAAUCA
rnacentral:tRNA from 14 species